CGGCUGUUCGCCGAUUAAAGUGGCACGCGAGCUGGGUUUAGAACGUCGUGAGACAGUUCGGUCCCUAUCCGCCGUGGGCGCAGGAGAUUUGAGGGGAUCUGUCCCUAGUACGAGAGGACCGGGAUGGACGAACCUAUGGUGUACCGGUUGUCGCGCCAGCGGCAUUGCCGGGUAGCUACGUUCGGAUUGGAUAACCGCUGAAAGCAUCUAAGUGGGAAGCCCACCCCAAGAUGAGAUCUCCCCAGGCCUUCGGGCCUCUGAAGGGUCGUCCGAGACGAGGACGUUGAUAGGCUGGAGGUGGAAGCGCAGCAAUGCGUGGAGCUGACCAGUACUAAUCGCCCGUGAGGCUUGACCAC
rnacentral:rRNA from 1 species